rnacentral:rRNA from 1 species
AUACGUAGGGGGCAAGCGUUAUCCGGAUUUACUGGGUGUUAAAGGGAGCGUAGACGGUUAGGUAAGUCUGAUGUGAAAGCCCGCGGCUCAACCGCGGGACUGCAUUGGAAACUAUUUAACUAGAGUGCAGGAGAGGUAAGUGGAAUUCCUAGUGUAGCGGUGAAAUGCGUAGAUAUUAGGAGGAACACCAGUGGCGAAGGCGGCUUACUGGACUGUAACUGACGUUGAGGCUCGAAAGCGUGGGGAGC